GUUGUAGUUACACUUGGUUUUGGACCCUCUUUGAAUAUAAUUUCAAAGAAAUAAGUUAGUUAUGAUCUGUACACAAACCAAAAACAUUUCUUCCAUUCAGUUGAUUAAAGUUGAAAGAGUGCUGAAUUAAAGACUUACAAAGAAUACUGUCAUGUGAAUUUUUGUUCUCUACACUCACCUAAAGGUACAACUGUAAGGGGAUUAAAAUCCACAGAGAAGGAAUUGCUAGGGUCGUUCACAGCGGCACUCAAGGUUUCAGCAACAACUUCAUUUAGUGGGAGUUCAUUAGAUGGGGUGCUCGGAUUGAAUAGAAUCUCCAUUUCCGUUCCAACUGUAGAAGCUCGUGUUUCCCUUGAACUGUAUUUAGGAAAAAAUGUGAGAGAAAAAUGUGAGGUUACUUAAUGUUAGGUAAGAAAAGAGUCAACAAUGAAAAUGGCUUUAUAAAAGAACAUCCAAAUAAGCCAGAUCUAAUAACACAAGUUUGUUGACAAGACAGAUGGUUUUACCGGAAACUCCUCACUCUGCACUUGAGAAAUAUUCUGCCAUAUCUUGCUCUAUAGAUGCUGUUACACUGUUGAAAAAUAAAGGACAAAAGAAGACAGCAUGGUAAAUGAUCUAUGAAGUGGUUUUAAACACUAUUCUGCAGAUAAAAUUCAAAUUCAUACAAACUUUUCAAGACAAACUGUAAUGGAAUUUAAGAUAACCCUAUUGAAUUGUUGUAUUUAUUGGAUUAAAAUGAAACAAAUGUAUCUUAAGUUUUGAAAUAACUCUGAAAGAACUUACUGAUACAAUGACUCGAUUUUCAAGUUCUUUGUAUUGAGAGCUCUGGGGGUUCAGAAGUUGAGAAGUGAAGAUUUCAUUGAACAACUGUACAUUAAGUACAUAAGUAAUAGCAGCUGUUGUUGUUGGGGCAGGUGUUGUUGUUGUUGUUGUUGGGGAAGGUGUUGUUGUUGUUGUUGUUGGGGAAGGUGUUGUUGUUGUUGUUGUUGGGGCAGGUGUUGUUGUUGUUGUUGCGGCAGGUGUUGUUGUUGUUGUUGUUGGGGCAGGUGUUGUUGUUGUUGUUGGGGCAGGUGUUGUUGUUGUUGUUGUUGGGGCAGGUGUUGUUGUUGUUGUUGGGGCAGGUGUUGUUGUUGUUGUUGUUGUUGGGGCAGGUGUUGUUGUUGGGGCAGGUGUUGUUGUUGGGGAAGGUGUUGUUGUUGUUGUUGUUGUUGUUGUUGUUGUUGGGGAAGGUGUUGUUGUUGUUGUUGUUGCGGCAGGUGUUGUUGUUGUUGUUGUUGGGGCAGGUGUUGUUGUUGUUGUUGUUGUUGUUGUUGUUGUUGGGGCAGGUGUAGUUGUUGUUGUUGUUGGGGCAGGUGUUGUUGUUGUUGUUGGGGCAGGUGUUGUUGUUGUUGGGGAAGGUGUUGUUGUUGUUGUUGUUGGGGCAGGUGUAGUUGUUGUUGGGGAAGGUGUUGUUGUUGUUGUUGGGGCAGGUGUUGUUGUUGUUGUUGUUGGGGUAGGUGUUGUUGUUCUUGAUGGGGCAGGUGUUGUUGUUGUUGUUGUUGGGGAAGGUGUUGUUGUUGUUGGGGCAGGUGUAGUUGUUGUUGUUGUUGGGGCAGGUGUUGUUGUUGUUGUUGUUGGGGAAGGUGUUGUUGUUGUUGUUGUUGGGGCAGGUGUAGUUGUUGUUGUUGUUGGGGAAGGUGUUGUUGUUGUUGUUGGGGCAGGUGUUGUUGUUGUUGUUGUUGGGGUAGGUGUUGUUGUUCUUGAUGGGGCAGGUGUUGUUGUUGUUGGGGAAGGUGUUGUUGUUGUGGUUGGGGCAGGUGUUGGGGUUGUUGUUGGGGCAGGUGUUGUUGUUGUUGUUGGGGCAGGUGUUGUUGUUGUUGGGGAAGGUGUUGUUGUUGUUGUUGGGGCAGGUGUUGUUGUUGUUGUUGGGGCAGGUGUUGUUGUUGUUGUUGGGGCAGGUGUUGUUGUUGUUGGGGCAGGUGUUGUUGUUGUUGUUGUUGGGGCAGGUGUUGUUGUUGGGGCAGGUGUUGUUGUUGUUGUUGUUGUUGUUGUUGGGGCAGGUGUUGUUGUUGUUGUUGUUUUUGGGGCAGGUGUUGUUGUUGUUGUUGGGGUAGGUGUUGUUGAUUUUGAUGGGGCAGGUGUUGUUGUUGUUGGGGUAGGUGUUGUUGAUGUUGUUGUUGUGGUUGGGGCAGGUGUUGUUGUUGGGGCAGGUGUUGUUGUUGUUGUUGUUGGGACAGGUGUUGUUGUUGUUGUUGGGGCAGGUGUUGUUGUUGGGGCAGGUGUUGUUGUUGUUGUUGGGGAAGGUGUUGUUGGGGCAGGUUUUGUUGUUGGGGCAGGUGUUGUUGUUGUUGUUGUUGUGGCAGGUGUUGUUGUUGUUGUUGUUGUUGGGGCAGGUGUUGUUGUUGUUGUUGUUGGGGAAGGUGUUGUUGUUGUUGGGGAAGGUGUUGUUGUUGUUGUUCGGGCAGGUGUUGUUGUUGUUGUUGGGGCAGGUGUUGUCGGGGCAGGUGUUGUUGUUGUUGUUGGGGAAGCUGUUGUUGUUGUUGUUGUUGUUGUUGUUGUUGUUGGGGCAGCUGUUGUUGUUGUUGUUGGGGCAGCUGUUGUUGUUGUUGUUGGGGCAGCUGUUGUUGUUGUUGGGGCAGGUGUUGUUGUUGUUGGGGAAGGUGUUGUUGUUGUUGUUGGGGCAGGUGUUGUUGUUGUUGUUGGGGCAGGUGUUGUUGUUGUUGUUGGGCAGGUGUUGUUGUUGUUGUUGUUGGGGAAGCUGUUGUUGUUGUUGUUGGGGCAGGUGUUGUUGUUGUUGUUGUUGGGGCAGGUGUUGUUGUUGUUGUUGUUGGGGCAGGUGUUGUUGUUGUUGUUGUUGUUGGGGCAGCUGUUGUUGUUGUUGUAGUUGUUGUUGGGGAAGCUGUUGUUGUUGGGGCAGCUGUUGUUGUUGUUGUUGUUGUUGUUGGGGAAGCUGUUGUUGUUGUUAGUGCAGCUGUUGUUGUUGUUGGGGAAGCUGUUGUUGUUGUUGGGAAAGCUGUUGUUGUUGUUGUUGGGAAAGCUGUUGUUGUUGUUGUUGCGGCAGCUGUUGUUGUUGUUGUUGGGGAAGCUGUAGUUGUUGUUGUUGGGGCAGCUGUUGUUGUUGUUGUUGGGGCAGCUGUUGUUGUUGUUGGGGCAGCUGUUGUUGUUGUUGUUUUUGGGGAAGCUGUUGUUGUUGUUGUUGGGGCAGCUGUUGUUGUUGUUGGGGCAGCUGUUGUUGUUGUUGUUGUUGGGGAAGCUGUAGUUGUUGUUGUUGGGGCAGCUGUUGUUGUUGUUGGGGCAGCUGUUGUUUUUGUUGGGGCAACUGUUGUUGUUGUUGUUGUUGUUGUUGGGAAAGCUGUUGUUGUUGUUGGGGCAGCUGUUGUUGUUGUUGUUGUUGUUGGGGAAGCUGUUGUUGUUGUUGUUGUUGGGGCAGUUGUUGUUGUUGUUGGGGAAGCUGUUGUUGUUGGGGAAGCUGUUGUUGUUGUUGUUGUUGGGGAAGCUGUAGUUGUUGUUGUUGGGGCAGCUGUUGUUGUUGUUGUUCGGGCAGGUGUUGUUGUUGUUGUUGGGGCAGCUGUUGUUGUUGUUGUUGUUGGGGAAGCUGUUGUUGUUGUUGUUGGGGCAGCUGUUGUUGUUGUUGGGGCAGCUGUUGUUGUUGUUGUUGGGGCAGGUGUUGUUGUUGUUGUUGGGGCAGGUGUUGUUGUUGUUUUUGGGGCAGGUGUUGUUGUUGUUGUUGUUGUUGUUGGGGAAGCUGUUGUUGUUGUUCGGGCAGGUGUUGUUCUUGUUGUUGGGGCAGCUGUUGUUGUUGUUGUUGUUGGGGCAGCUGUUGUUGUUGUUGGGGCAGCUGUUGUUGUUGUUGUUGGGGCAGCUGUUGUUGUUGUUGGGGCAGCUGUUGUUGUUGUUGGGGCAGGUGUUGUUGUUAUUGUUGUUGGGGCAGGUGUUGUUGUUGUUGUUGUUGGGGCACGUGUUGUUGUUGUUGGGGCAGGUGUUGUUGUUGUUGUUGGGGAAGGUGUUGUUGUUGUUGUUGUUGGGGAAGGUGUUGUUGUUGGGGCAGGUGUUGUUGUUGUUGUUGUUGGGGAAGCUGUUGUUGUUGUUGUUGGGGCAGGUGUUGUUGUUGUUGUUGUUGGGGCAGGUGUUGUUGUUGUUGUUGUUGGGGCAGGUGUUGUUGUUGUUGUUGUUGUUGGGGCAGCUGUUGUUGUUGUAGUUGUUGUUGGGGAAGCUGUUGUUGUUGGGGCAGCUGUUGUUGUUGUUGUUGUUGUUGUUGGGGAAGCUGUUGUUGUUGUUAGUGCAGCUGUUGUUGUUGUUGGGGAAGCUGUUGUUGUUGUUGGGAAAGCUGUUGUUGUUGUUGUUGGGCAAGCUGUUGUUGUUGUUGUUGCGGCAGCUGUUGUUGUUGUUGUUGGGGAAGCUGUAGUUGUUGUUGUUGGGGCAGCUGUUGUUGUUGUUGUUGGUGCAGCUGUUGUUGUUGUUGGGGCAGCUGUUGUUGUUGUUGUUUUUGGGGAAGCUGUUGUUGUUGUUGUUGGGGCAGCUGUUGUUGUUGUUGGGGCAGCUGUUGUUGUUGUUGUUGUUGGGGAAGCUGUAGUUGUUGUUGUUGGGGCAGCUGUUGUUGUUGUUGGGGCAGCUGUUGUUUUUGUUGGGGCAACUGUUGUUGUUGUUGUUGUUGUUGUUGGGAAAGCUGUUGUUGUUGUUGGGGCAGCUGUUGUUGUUGUUGUUGUUGUUGGGGAAGCUGUUGUUGUUGUUGUUGUUGGGGCAGUUGUUGUUGUUGUUGGGGAAGCUGUUGUUGUUGGGGAAGCUGUUGUUGUUGUUGUUGUUGGGGAAGCUGUAGUUGUUGUUGUUGGGGCAGCUGUUGUUGUUGUUGUUCGGGCAGGUGUUGUUGUUGUUGUUGGGGCAGCUGUUGUUGUUGUUGUUGUUGGGGAAGCUGUUGUUGUUGUUGUUGGGGCAGCUGUUGUUGUUGUUGGGGCAGCUGUUGUUGUUGUUGUUGGGGCAGGUGUUGUUGUUGUUGUUGGGGCAGGUGUUGUUGUUGUUUUUGGGGCAGGUGUUGUUGUUGUUGUUGUUGUUGUUGGGGAAGCUGUUGUUGUUGUUCGGGCAGGUGUUGUUCUUGUUGUUGGGGCAGCUGUUGUUGUUGUUGUUGUUGGGGCAGCUGUUGUUGUUGUUGGGGCAGCUGUUGUUGUUGUUGUUGGGGCAGCUGUUGUUGUUGUUGGGGCAGCUGUUGUUGUUGUUGGGGCAGGUGUUGUUGUUAUUGUUGUUGGGGCAGGUGUUGUUGUUGUUGUUGUUGGGGCACGUGUUGUUGUUGUUGGGGCAGGUGUUGUUGUUGUUGUUGGGGAAGGUGUUGUUGUUGUUGUUGUUGGGGAAGGUGUUGUUGUUGUGGCAGGUGUUGUUGUUGUUGUUGGGGCAGCUGUUGUUGUUGUUGUUGGGGCAGCUGUUGUUGUUGUUGGGGCAGCUGUUGUUGUUGUUGUUGGGGCAGCUGUUGUUGUUGUUGGGGCAGCUGUUGUUGUUGUUGUUGGGGCAGGUGUUGUUGUUGUUGUUGGGGCAGGUGUUGUUGUUGUUGUUGUUGUUGUUGGGGAAGCUGUUGUUGUUGUUGUUCGGGCAGGUGUUGUUCUUGUUGUUGGGGCAGCUGUUGUUGUUGUUGUUUUUGGGGCAGCUGUUGUUGUUGUUGGGGCAGCUGUUGUUGUUGUUGUUGGGGCAGCUGUUGUUGUUGUUGUUGGGGAAGCUGUUGUUGUUGUUGUUGUUGGGGCAGCUGUUGUUGUUGUUGUUGGGGCAGGUGUUGUUGUUGUUGUUGGGGCAGGUGUUGUUGUUAUUGUUGUUGGGGCAGGUGUUGUUGUUGUUGUUGGGGCACGUGUUGUUGUUGUUGGGGCAGGUGUUGUUGUUGUUGUUGUUGUUGUUGGGGAAAGUGUUGUUGUUGUUGGGGAAGGUGUUGUUGUUGUUGUUGUUGUUGUUGGGGCAGGUGUUGUUGUUGUUGUUGUUAGGGCAGGUGUUGUUGUUGUUGGGGCAGGUGUUGUUGUUGUUGUUGGGGCAGCUGUUGUUGUUGUUGUUGGGGUAGCUGUUGUUGUUGGGGCAGGUGUUGUUGUUGUUGUUGGGGCAGCUGUCGUUGUUGUUCGGGCAGGUGUUGUUGUUGUUGGGGCAGCUGUUGUUGUUGUUGUUGGGGCAGGUGUUGUUGUUGUUGGGGCAGCUGUUGUUGCUGUUGUUGGGGCAGAUGUUGUUGUUGUAGGGGCAGGUGUUGUUGUCGGGGCAGGUGUUGUUGUUGUUGUUGGGGAAGCUGUUGUUGGGGAAGCUGUUGUUAUUGUUGUUGGGGCAGGUGUUGUUGUUGUUGUCGGGGCAGGUGUUGUUGUUGUUGUUGUUGGGGCAGGUGUUGUUGUUGUUGUUGGGGCAGUUGUUGUUGUUGUUGGGGCAGGUGUUGUUGUUGUUGUUGUUGUUGUUGGGGCAGGUGUUGUUGUUGUUGUUGUUGGGGCAGGUGUUGUUGUUGUUGUUGUUGGGGCAGGUGUUGUUGUUGUUGUUGGGGCAGGUGUUGUUGUUGUUGUUGGGGCAGGUGUUGUUGUUGUUGUUGUUGUUGGGGCAGGUGUUGUUGUUGUUGUUGUUGGGGCAGGUGUUGUUGUUGUUUGUUGUUGUUGGGGAAGGUGUUGUUGUUGUUGUUGGGGAAGGUGUUGUUGUUGGGGCAGGUGUUGUUGUUGUUGUUGUUGUUGUUGGGGAAGUUGUUGUUGUUGUUGGGGAAGGUGUUGUUGUUGUUGGGGCAGGUGUUGUUGUUGUUGGGGCAGGUGUUGUUGUUGUUUUUGUUGGGGCAGGUGUUGUUGUUGUUGUUGGGGAAGGUGUUGUUGUUGUUGGGGCAGGUGUUGUUGUUGUUUUUGGGGCAGGUGUUGUUGUUGUUGUUGUUGGGGAAGGUGUUGUUAUUGUUGUUGUUGUUGUUGUUGUUGGGGCAGCUGUUGUUGUUGUUGUUGGGGCAGGUGUUGUUGUUGUUGUGGGGCAGCUGUUGUUGUUGUUGUAGUUGUUGGGGAAGCUGUUGUUGUUGUUGGGGCAGCUGUUGUUGUUGUGGUUGGGGAAGCUGUAGUUGUUGUUGUUGGGGCAGUCGUUGUUGUUGUUGUUGUUGUUGUUGUUGUUGGGGAAGCUGUAGUUGUUGUUGUUGGGGCAGCUGUUGUUGUUGUUUUUGGGGAAGCUGUUGUUGUUGUUGUUGGGGAAGCUGUUGUUGUUGUUGUUGGGGAAGCUGUAGUUGUUGUUGUUGGGGCAGCUGUAGUUGUUGUUGUUGGGGCAGCUGUUGUUGUUGUUGUUGUUGUUGUUGGGGAAGCUGUAGUUGUUGUUGUUGGGGCACCUGUUGUUGUUGUUGGGGAAGCUGUUGUUGUUGUUGUUGGGGCAGCUGUUGUUGUUGUUGGGGAAGCUGUAGUUGUUGUUGGGGCAGCUGUAGUUGUUGUUGUUGGGGCAGCUGUAGUUGUUGUUGUUGUUGUUGGGGCAGCUGUUGUUGUUGUUGUUGGGGCAGCUGUUGUUGUUGUUGUUGUUGGGGAAGCUGUAGUUGUUGUUGUUGGGGCAGCUGUUGUUGUUGUUGUUGGGGCAGCUGUUGUUGUUGUUGUUGGGGAAGCUGUUGUUGUUGUUGGGGCAGCUGUUGUUGUUGUUGGGGAAGCUGUAGUUGUUGUUGUUGGGGCAGCUGUAGUUGUUGUUGUUGGGGCAGCUGUUGUUGUUGUUGUUGGGGCAGGUGUUGUUGUUGUUGUUGGGGCAGCUGUUGUUGUUGUUAUUGUUGGGGAAGCUGUAGUUGUUGUUGUUGGGGCAGCUGUUGUUGUUGGGGAAGCUGUUGUUGUUGUUGGGGAAGCUGUUGUUGUUGUUGGGGAAGCUGUAGUUGUUGUUGGGGCAGCUGUAGUUGUUGUUGGGGCAGCUGUAGUUGUUGUUGUUGGGGCAGCUGUUGUUGUUGUUGUUGUUGUUGUUGGGGAAGCUGUUGUUGUUGUUGGGGCAGCUGUUGUUGUUGUUGUUGUUGGGGAAGCUGUUGUUGUUGUGGUUGGGGAAGCUGUAGUUGUUGUUGUUGGGGCAGCUGUUGUUGUUGUUGGGGCAGCUGUUGUUGUUGUUGUUGUUGUUGUUGUUGUUGGGGCAGCUGUUGUUGUUGUUGUUGGGGAAGCUGUUGUUGUUGUUGUUGGGGAAGCUGUUGUUGUUGUUGUUGGGGAAGCUGUAGUUGUUGUUGUUGGGGCAGCUGUAGUUGUUGUUGUUGGGGCAGCUGUUGUUGUUGUUGUUGUUGGGGAAGCUGUAGUUGUUGUUGUUGGGGCACCUGUUGUUGUUGUUGGGGAAGCUGUUGUUGUUGUUGUUGGGGCAGCUGUUGUUGUUGUUGGGGAAGCUGUAGUUGUUGUUGGGGCAGCUGUAGUUGUUGUUGUUGGGGCAGCUGUAGUUGUUGUUGUUGUUGUUGGGGCAGCUGUUGUUGUUGUUGUUGGGGCAGCUGUUGUUGUUGUUGUUGUUGGGGAAGCUGUAGUUGUUGUUGUUGGGGCAGCUGUUGUUGUUGUUGUUUGGGCAGCUGUUGUUGUUGUUGUUGGGGAAGCUGUAGUUGUUGUUGGGGCAGCUGUUGUUGUUGUUGUUGUUGUUGGGGCAGCUGUUGUUGUUGUUGUUGUUGUUGGGGAAGCUGUAGUUGUUGUUGUUGGGGAAGCUGUUGUUGUUGUUGUUGUUGUUGUUGGGGCAGCUGUUGUUGUUGUUGUUGGGGAAGCUGUAGUUGUUGUUGUUGGGGCAGCUGUUGUUGUUGUAGUUGUUGUUGUUGGGGCAGCUGUUGUUGUUGUUGUUGUUGUUGGGGAAGCUGUAGUUGUUGUUGUUGGGGCAGCUGUUGUUGUUGUUGUUGGGGAAACUGUUGUUGUUGUUGUUGUUGGGGCAGCUGUUUUUGUUGUUGUUGGGGCAGCUGUUGUUGUUGUUGUUGGGGCAGGUGUUGUUGUUGGGGCAGCUGUAGUUGUUGUUGUUGUUGCGGCAGCUGUUGUUGUUGAUGUUGUUGGGGAAGCUGUUGUUGUUGUUGUUGGGGAAGCUGUAGUUGUUGUUGUUGGGGCAGCUGUUGUUGUUGUUGUUGUUGGGGCAGCUGUUGUUUUUGUUGUUGUUGUUGGGGAAGCUGUUGUUGUUGUUGGGGUAGCUGUUGUUGUUGUUGGGGAAGCUGUUGUUGUUGUUGUUGGGGAAGCUGUUGUUGUUGGGGUUGUUGUUGUUGGGGAAGCUGUAGUUGUUGUUGGGGCAGCUGUUGUAGUUGUUGUUGUUGCGGCAGCUGUUGUUGUUGUUGUUGGGAAAGCUGUUGUUGUUGUUGUUUGGGCAGCUGUAGUUGUUGUUGUUGCGGCAGCUGUUGUUGUUGUUGUUGGGGAAGCUGUAGUUGUUGUUGUUGGGGCAGCUGUUGUUGUUGUUGUUGGGGCAGCUGUUGUUGUUGUUGGGGAAGCUGUAGUUGUUGUUGUUGGGGCAGCUGUUGUUGUUGUUGUUGUUGGGGCAGCUGUUGUUGUUGUUGUUGGGGAAGCUGUUGUUGUUGUUGUUGGGGCAGCUGUUGUUGUUGUUGUUGUUGGGGCAGCUGUUGUUGUUGUUGUUGUUGGGGAAGCUGUAGUUGUUGUUGGGGCAGCUGUUGUUGUUGUUGUUGUUGGGGCAGCUGUUGUUGUUGUUGUUGUUGGGGAAGCAGUUGUUGUUGUUGUUGUUGUUGUUGUUGUUGUUGUUGUUGUUGGGGAAGCUGUUGUUGUUGUUGGGGCAGCUGUUGUUGUUGUUGGGGAAGCUGUAGUUGUUGUUGUUGGGGCAGCUGUUGUUGUUGUUGUUGUUGUUGUUGGGGCAGCUGUUGUUGUUGUUGUUGUUGUUGUUGUUGGGGAAGCUGUUGUUGUUGUUGUUGGGGAAGCUGUAGUUGUUGUUGUUGCGGCAGCUGUUGUUGUUGUUGUUGGGGCAGCUUUUGUUGUUGUUGUUGUUAGGGCAGCUGUUGUAGUUGUUGUUGUUGUUGGGGAAGCUGUAGUUGUUGUUGUUGGGGCAGCUGUUGUUGUUGUUGGGGCAGCUGUUGUUGAUGUUGUUGUUGUUGGGGAAGCUGUAGUUGUUGUUGUUGGGGAAGCUGUUGUUGUUUUUGUUGUUGGGGCAGCUGUUGUUGUUGUUGGGGCAGCUGUUGUUGUUGUUGGGGCAGCUGUUGUUGUUGUUGUUGGGGAAGCUGUAGUUGUUGUUGUUGGGGCAGCUGUUGUUGUUGUUGUUGGGGCAGCUGUUGUUGUUGUUGUUGUUGUUGGGGCAGCUGUUGUUGUUGUUGUUGUUGUUGGGGAAGCUGUAGUUGUUGUUGUUGGGGAAGCUGUUGUUGUUGUUGUUGUUGUUGUUGUUGGGGAAGCUGUAGUUGUUGUUGUUGGGGCAGCUGUUGUUGUUGUUGUUGGGGAAGCUGUUGUUGUUGGGGAAGCUGUUGUUGUUAUUGUUGUUGGGGCAGCUGUUGUUGUUGUUGUUGCGGCAGCUGUUGUUGUUGUUGUUGUUGGGGCAGCUGUUGUUGUUGUUGUUGCGGCAGGUGUUGUUGGGGAAGCUGUAGUUGUUGUUGUUGUUGGGGCAGCUGUUGUUGUUGUUGUUGUUGUUGGGGAAGCUGUUGUUGUUGUUGUUGUUGGGGAAGCUGUAGUUGUUGUUGUUGGGGCAGGUGUUGUUGUUGUAGUUGUUUGGGAAGCUGUUGUUGUUAGAAUUGUAAGAAUCAGGAAAAGUGAUGUGGCCACCCCUCCUUUGGCCAUUUUGUCUUCUUUUAGGUCCGUCAAAAAGAAUGUCUGCAAACAAUCAAAAGGUUGGUGUUUUGCUCUUCCACAUUUACAACAAAAACUGCAAAGUUACAAUGUUUGGUGUCCAUACUAAAUGUAUGCAAAAUUUCAAAUCACUCACUAAAAUGUCUACAUUGAUAUUAUAGGCUCUCCUUAUUAGUUCAUCUGUGUCUCUGGCAAAGCCAAACGACCUGCCCCCAACAGCGUGUGAAGUGACACUCACAGCGGGGCAGGGGAAAGCUGCUCUUCUGUUCUAUGCCAAAGUGAGAAACACAAGGCUUUUUAAAAAAUCUAAAUAUUAAGCUAUUAAAGAGACUGUAUAUACUAUGGACAACCUGAGGCCUGUACUACGAAGAUGGAUCAACACAUCCAGGGUACCUCUGUGACAACUCGCUCAACUUCACCGGAUCUCCAUGAUUCCGAUCAGCUGUACUAGGAAGCCGGUUAUCAACUCGAUAACUGAAUCCAGGUGUUGCCACUUCAGAUCUGUGCGCGCACACGUAAAGGGGGUGGGGUUAGUUCCACCGGACCAAUCUCCACAAUGGAGAAGGCUGCACGUCAUUUUUCACAGCCGAAGAACAGAGCAUUAUUUUACGAGGAGUACCGCAACAUUAUAACAGUGAGGAGCAGGACAGCUGCUAAAAGCUGGAGGGACUGCUGGCAAAAAAAAAAAAUCAUCAAUUGUGUAAAUUACAUUUGUGCGUUCAUAAAUUUAUGGCCCCCUAAUAUGUUGUCAUGCAGCGUGUGUGAUCACCUCCAUCAAUGACCUCAUUAUUUCAGAUACAACAGCAGUGGGGAAAAGAGUACGUGGGAGCAAAUAAAAAUAAAUUCAAAAACAUCCUUUAAAGUAAUUUAGUGGUAAGUUUAUUGGAAGAUUUUAUUUGUACAUAUUUCAACGCGUAAACAGUGAUUUCCUCACACUGCCUUUUUUUUUUUCCUUAAUCAUCUGAUGGUCACAUGUCAUCUGCAGACACAUUUGGGGUUAAGAGGAGUUAUCCAAUCUGCUUCAAUAAGUUCUGAAUGAUGACUGAUAUGCUGCAUGAAAUUGGAACCUGGAGCUUGGCAAAUAUUACUGCAUUGCUUAGACUUCAUGCUAUAUUGAGGCCGUCCGAGGAAAACCUGUAAUGUUCAUAGAGAACGUCAUCAGGUAAAUCAAACGGAUUUGAACAAUCAUGAAUAUAACGCAAAGCGCUCCUCUCAUUAUCUGUGCAACGAUGUCCCCAGGAUCCGGCAAAAGUGGGCAAGCCAUUUUCCAAGAGAUCUGAUUGGUCAGUGGGCGGUCUUUUAUACCUGCUGAGAUCUUAUCCUAAAACAUAACCUGCUCCGGAGCAGGUUUGGCGUUCCGCUUAAGUUACCGGGGCGUACGGAAAACCCAGAAGUUAUCUUGCUAAGACCAAAUCCAGCUUCGUAGUACAGAGGUCCGUUUCACGUAGCAGGUUUAAUGGAAACUCCGAGUUUGUUAACCCUGAAAUCAGGGAAACUCUGAGUUUUCCGUUUCACAAAGGAGGGUUAGUUAAACCAGGGAGAGAGGGGUAACUCUAACCUGUUUCACAAAGAGAGGUAACUCAACCUCGCGGUCAGUUACCACAGUAACAGACUCCGUGAACCUAACCUGCUCGGGAGCAGGUUUAACUCAGUAAACCCAGAGUUUCAGGUGAGACAUCGGCAUUUUCUCAUUUUGAUCAUGUUUUACAUUGUCAAGUAAGUAUUAAGUGGCAGUUUGAUCCCUUAAAAAAUGCUCUUUUCACACUCAAAAAUGAAUUUUACUCUCUUAUGAUGUUCCGUUAAAUGAUUAGGAAUAUUAAACUAACACAAAAACGGGUGGUGGUCCAGCAGCCCCACCUUUAACGGAGGCAGAGGAGCUGCCCCCCACCCCCACCCCCCCGUUCGACGAUCGC